AGAACGAACGCUGGCGGCAUGCCUAAUACAUGCAAGUCGAACGAACUCUUCGGAGUUAGUGGCGCACGGGUGCGUAACGCGUGGGAAUCUGCCCCUUGGUUCGGAAUAACAGUUGGAAACGACUGCUAAUACCGGAUGAUGACGAAAGUCCAAAGAUUUAUCGCCAAGGGAUGAGCCCGCGUAGGAUUAGCUAGUUGGUGAGGUAAAGGCUCACCAAGGCGACGAUCCUUAGCUGGUCUGAGAGGAUGAUCAGCCACACUGGGACUGAGACACGGCCCAGACUCCUACGGGAGGCAGCAGUGGGGAAUAUUGGACAAUGGGCGCAAGCCUGAUCAGCAAUGCCGCGUGAGUGAUGAAGGCCUUAGGGUUGUAAAGCUACUUUUACCCGGGAUGAUAAUGACAGUACGGAGAAUAAGCUCGGCUAACUCCGUGCCAGCAGCCGC
rnacentral:rRNA from 1 species